ACCAGACAUCAUGGCCACUGUCCAGAGAGAGACCAGAGACCACCGCCACUGUUAAGAGAGACCAGAGACACCAUCCUGGUAGAGACCAGAGACACCACCGCCACCGUCCAGAGAGAGACCAGUAACACCACCGCCACCACCCAGAGAGACCAGAGACCACCGCCACCGUCCAGAGAGAGACCAGAGACACACCACCGUCCAGAGAGACCAGAGACACCACCACGACCGUCCAGAGACCAGAGACACCACCGCGACCGUCCAGAGAGACCAGAGACACCACCGCCACCGUCCAGAGAGACCAGAGACACCACCAC
ensembl:lncRNA